rnacentral:lncRNA from 1 species
CCAAGAUCAUUGACAUCAAUCGGUGGUAGGAAAACGCCAGCUGGCCACAAGGACUCAGCAUUUCCUGAACUCAUUAUUACCUGCUAAAGAAAUCCACUCCAAAUUUGACUGAAGUUUCAAACCAGGAGUCAUUCUUCAUGAAACAGUUUGAAGCGAGUCCUUCUACGUCAUCGUAUAAAUGUCUCUGACAAAUAAAUCUUUUUUCUGAUGAAUCAUGAUGCAGAAAAUGGACCGUGCAAAAUACGUGUUACAAAAAUAUGUCAAGAUUCUUCAGAGGCAUCGGGAGUAAUUUAUUAUAACAUAAACUUGACGUAACUUUGAAACACGUUACGUCAUUUCGACGACCUGCUUGCGGAACGCUGCCCUGCAAGUAUACCAAACAGACUUUUCCCAUCAGGAUCGGAGUCUAGCAACAUUGCGCUUUGAAAGGCAAUAUUUUUUAGCGACCGCGACAGUAGUUACAUUAUAUCUCCGCAUACCAUCGGUUACUCCUACAACGUCGCGGGUAAGCGCGCCUACGCCAAGACAAAUGCGUGUGUGCGAGCUUACAAUUAGACCUUCGAGGAGACUCGCAUGGAAAGACACACACGUGCACCCGACAGUGCGUGUCAAACCCACCCUUUCGCCUUCCUUUCCGUUUACCUUCACCUGGGAGUACAUUCGACCCGCUAUUGAAUUCGACAUUUAAGAUCCAACAUUGCGGAAACCUCAUGUGCAUAAGUAGUAUUUCUGCAUUGAUAGAUUAUCGGAAAUUAUCCGGUACUCCGACAAAGGAAUUCACGAAAAGAUCGAAUUUCGAAAGGGUUUAUUCCACGAGAAAAAGAAAGGAAAAGCUCGGUUUUAUCAUAACGAUAAAUCUUGGAGACAAAAGUAAAUUCGCGAAAUAGAAGAAAUCGAUUUUUAAUCGUUUUUUUUUUAUUUUCUAUAAUUCCUUUAACAUAUUCAAUUUUAUUAAUAUUUUAUAUAUUAUUACAAAGUAAUUUAUUAUUUAUAAACAUUGGAUUCGGAGAGAGAAUAAAAUGUGUUAAAUUUGAAUCGAAGCAAUUUGCGAUUUUACUUCUGCAUAACAAUUUUGUUAUAAUUUCCUGUAUAUAUACCGUUUAUUAAUAUUAUAUGUUAUUUAAAAGUAAUAUAUAGUUUUUAUAAAUGUUGAUUCUCUCUCUCUCUCUCUCCCCCCCCCCCUCUCUCUCUCUCUCGAACGAACGAACAGACGAAACGUUUCAAAUUUAAAUGGAGAUCUAAUUUACUUUUGCACAACAUAGUCUGAUUAAUAAGAAUGUUGACACAACGUGUGAAUGGAAAAAAUAUGUAUUGCUGUAAACUGAGAGCGAUCCCAUUCUCGUGAUACAUUACGAUUUGAUUAAGUAAUAGCGCGUCCGCAAUGAAGCAAUUACAUUGAUACACACGUAUACGCAUACAUAAGAAUUUAUAAGUGCGUGUAUAAUGUGUCUGGUUAUCUUUUACCUUUCUAAUGAUACAUUAAAUCCGUAGAUAAACUAAUUCGCGUAGCAUUUAAUUACUCAGUUAUGAAUCGCAAUAACAGAUUAAAAAGUGGAAUAUAAAUUAGGUUUUUUAAUAGAAUUUCUUUUGUCAAAGAAAUUUCAUUCUGAAGCUUUUUUUAUGUUCUUUAUUCUAAAAA